AGCGGUGACAUGUGGUUUAUUCGAUGCAACGCGAAGAACCUUACCUACUCUUGACAUCCAGAGAACUUAGCAGAGAUGCUUUGGUGCCUUCGGGAACUCUGAGACAGGUGCUGCAUGGCUGUCGUCAGCUCGUGUUGUGAAAUGUUGGGUUAAGUCCCGCAACGAGCGCAACCCUUAUCCUUUGUUGCCAGCGCGUGAUGUCGGGAACUCAAAGGAGACUGCCGGUGAUAAACCGGAGGAAGGUGGGGAUGACGUCAAGUCAUCAUGGCCCUUACGAGUAGGGCUACACACGUGCUACAAUGGCGUAUACAAAGGGAAGCGACCCUGCGAAGGCAAGCGGAACUCAUAAAGUACGUCGUAGUCCGGAUUGGAGUCUGCAACUCGACUCCAUGAAGUCGGAAUCGCUAGUAAUCGUAGAUCAGAAUGCUACGGUGAAUACGUUCCCGGGCCUUGUACACACCGCCCG
rnacentral:rRNA from 1 species